rnacentral:rRNA from 1 species
UACGAAGGGGGCUAGCGUUGCUCGGAAUUACUGGGCGUAAAGGGCGCGUAGGCGGCCAGUUUAGUCAGAGGUGAAAGCCCAGGGCUCAACCUUGGAAUUGCCUUUGAUACUGGCUGUCUUGAGUUCGGGAGAGGUGAGUGGAAUGCCGAGUGUAGAGGUGAAAUUCGUAGAUAUUCGGCGGAACACCAGUGGCGAAGGCGGCUCACUGGACCGGAACUGACGCUGAGGCGCGAAAGCGUGGGGAGCAAACGGG